AUUGAACGCUGGCGGCAUGCCUUACACAUGCAAGUCGAACGGCAGCAUGGAGAGCUUGCUCUCUGAUGGCGAGUGGCGAACGGGUGAGUAAUGCACCGGAACGUACCGUGUAAUGGGGGAUAACGUAGCGAAAGUUACGCUAAUACCGCAUACGACCUGAGGGGGAAAGCAGGGGAUCGCAAGACCUUGCGUUAUACGAGCGGCCGAUGUCAGAUUAGCUAGUUGGAGAGGUAAAGGCUCACCAAGGCGACGAUCUGUAGCGGGUCUGAGAGGAUGAUCCGCCACACUGGGACUGAGACACGGCCCAGACUCCUACGGGAGGCAGCAGUGGGGAAUUUUGGACAAUGGGGGCAACCCUGAUCCAGCCAUGCCGCGUGAGUGAAGAAGGCCUUCGGGUUGUAAAGCUCUUUCGGCCGGGAAGAAAUCGCACAGGCUAAUACUCUGUGUGGAUGACGGUACCGGCAUAAGAAGCACCGGCUAACUACGUGCCAGCAGCCGCCGUAA
rnacentral:rRNA from 1 species